rnacentral:tRNA from 6 species
GGCUCCAUGGUCAAGCGGUCAAGACACCGCCCUUUCACGGCGGUAACCCGAGUUCGAUUCUCGGUGGAGUCACCA